AGCCAUCCAGUUCCUGCCUGGCGUUAAGCAUCACCACACUCCAGUCUUCCCGGCCGAGGAUCUAUUUCAUACCAUUCAGCUGAACGACACCCGACUUAGCGGGAAAAGUUCCUCCGUCUGGUUCAGCGCCUGGUCACACAGAGUUUUCCUGGCACAAGGGAGGGGAAAGAGCACUUUGGCGUGGAGGGGAAAUGAGCAACGGAGGGCGAAAGGUGGCUGCCUGGCUGUUACAAUUUAUCAUGAACGCAUCUCACUUCACUUUUGGCUCCUCUGACGGAAGGAACAGCCGGUCUCCGGGAGGUCAAAGACAUUAUUUUCCCCUCGUCUUUCUCAGUUUCCAGCACAUAUUUGUCACUUUGAAAAAGCAUGAAUUCUGGAUUUGAUGCACUUUAAUUGAUUUCACCCUCAACAAGUCCAACUGUCCAUCAACCUUUCCUUUUUCUUUCCUCUCCCUUUUCCCCUUCUUUAUUUCUUUCCUCUGUCCCUUUACUUUGAGA